GCUGUAGCUCAGUUGGUAGAGUGUUUGCCUACUAUGCAAAAGGCCAUGGGUUCAAUUCCCAGGUCCAUAUAAACA